rnacentral:rRNA from 1 species
UACAGAGGGUGCAAGCGUUGUUCGGAAUCACUGGGCGUAAAGGGAGCGUAGGCGGGCUCUUAAGUUGGAUGUUUAAAACCGGGGCCCAACCCCGGCGUGGCAUCCAAAACUGGGAGUCUUGAAUGGAACAGAGGCUAGUGGAAUUGGAGGUGUAGCGGUGGAAUGCGUAGAGAUCUCCAAGAACACCCGUUGCGAAGGCGGCUAGCUGGGUUAACAUUGACGCUGAGGCUCGAAAGCGUGGGGAGCAAACAGG